rnacentral:tRNA from 1 species
GCAUGCCGUAGCUGAGUUGGUCAACCCACAACUCUACCAACCGUGAGUUCCUGGGUUCGAGUCCCCCCGUGUGCC